CCGUGCCAGCAGCCGCGGUAAUACGGAGGGUGCGAGCGUUAAUCGGAAUUACUGGGCGUAAAGCGCAUGCAGGCGGCCGUGUUAAGUCAGAUGUGAAAGACCCGGGGCGUUAACCUCGGAAUUGCAUUUGAAACUGGCAGGCUAGAGUCUUGUAGAGGGGGGUAGGAAUUUCAGGUGUAGCGGUGAAAUGCGUAGAGAUCUGAAGGAAUACCAGUGGCGAAGGCGGCCCCCUGGACAAAGACUGACGCUCAGAUGCGAAAGCGUGGGGAGCAAACAGGAUUAGAUACCCUGGUAG
rnacentral:rRNA from 1 species